rnacentral:rRNA from 1 species
UACGGAGAAAGCUUUAUGCACCAUUGGAUGAGCCCGCACUUGAUUAGUUUGUUGGUGGGGUAAUGGCCUACCAAGACUGUGAUCAAUAGCUGAUUUGAGAGGAUGAUCAGCCACAUUGGGACUGAGACACGGCCCAAACUCCUACGGGAGGCAGCAGUGGGGAAUCUUGCACAAUGGAGGAAACUCUGAUGCAGCGAUGCCGCGUGAGUGAAGAAGGCCCUUGGGUUGUAAAGCUCUUUCGUCGGGGAAGAAAAUGACUGUACCCGAAUAAGAAGGUCCGGCUAACUUCGUGCCAGCAGCCGCGGUAAUACGAAGGGACCUAGCGUAGUUCGGAAUUACUGGGCUUAAAGAGUUCGUAGGUGGUUGAAAAAGUUAGUGGUGAAAUCCCAGAGCUUAACUCUGGAACUGCCAUUAAAACUUUUCAGCUAGAGUAUGAUAGAGGAAAGCAGAAUUUCUAGUGUAGAGGUGAAAUUCGUAGAUAUUAGAAAGAAUACCAAUUGCGAAGGCAGCUUUCUGGAUC